rnacentral:rRNA from 1 species
UACGUAGGGUGCGAGCGUUGUCCGGAAUUACUGGGCGUAAAGAGCUCGUAGGUGGUUUGUCGCGUUGUCCGUGAAAACUCACAACUCAAUUGUGGGCGUGCGGGCGAUACGGGCAGACUGGAGUACUGCAGGGGAGACUGGAAUUCCUGGUGUAGCGGUGGAAUGCGCAGAUAUCGGGAGGAACACCAGUGGCGAAGGCGGUUGCCUGGAGCUUUGCUGACGCUGAGGCGCGAAAGCGUGGGGAGCGAUCCGG